rnacentral:rRNA from 1 species
UACGUAGGGUCCGAGCGUUGUCCGGAAUUACUGGGCGUAAAGAGCUCGUAGGCGGUUUGUCACGUCGGCUGUGAAAACCCGAGGCUCAACCUCGGGCCUGCAGUCGAUACGGGCAGACUAGAGUAUGGCAGGGGAGACUGGAAUUCCUGGUGUAGCGGUGAAAUGCGCAGAUAUCAGGAGGAACACCGGUGGCGAAGGCGGGUCUCUGGGCCAUAACUGACGCUGAGGAGCGAAAGCGUGGGGAGCGAACAGG